rnacentral:rRNA from 1 species
AGCGAACGCUGGCGGCAGGCUUAACACAUGCAAGUCGAGCGGGCACUUUCGGGUGUCAGCGGCGGACGGGUGAGUAACGCGUGGGAACGUGCCCUCUGGUUCGGAAUAACUCAGGGAAACUUGAGCUAAUACCGGAUACGCCCUUUUGGGGAAAGGCUUGCUGCCGGAGGGUCGGCCCGCGUCUGAUUAGCUAGUUGGUGAGGUAACGGCUCACCAAGGCGACGAUCAGUAGCUGGUCUGAGAGGAUGAUCAGCCACACUGGGACUGAGACACGGCCCAGACUCCUACGGGAGGCAGCAGUGGGGAAUAUUGGACAAUGGGCGCAAGCCUGAUCCAGCCAUGCCGCGUGAGUGAUCAAGGCCUUAGGGUUGUAAAGCUCUUUUAUCCGGGACGAUAAUGACGGUACCGGAGGAAUAAGCCCCGGCUAACUUCGUG